rnacentral:rRNA from 1 species
UAAUACAUGCAAGUCGAACGGGAUUAGGGAGCUUGCUCCCUAUGAGAGUGGCGCACGGGUGCGUAACACGUAUGCAACCUACCUUCAACCGGGGGAUAGCCUUCCGAAAGGAAGAUUAAUACCGCAUAACAUUAUGAAAUGGCAUCAUUUUAUAAUCAAAUCUACGGAAGUUGAAGAUGGGCAUGCGUCCGAUUAGCUAGUUGGAGAGGUAACGGCUCACCAAGGCUACGAUCGGUAGGGGAUCUGAGAGGAUGACCCCCCACACUGGUACUGAGACACGGACCAGACUCCUACGGGAGGCAGCAGUAAGGAAUAUUGGUCAAUGGACGCAAGUCUGAACCAGCCAUGCCGCGUGCAGGAAGACGGCCCUAUGGGUUGUAAACUGCUUUUGUCGGGGAAGAAACCCAUCUACGUGUAGAUGGCUGACGGUACUCGAAGAAUAAGGAUCGGCUAACUCCGUGCCAGCAGCCGCGGUAAUACGGAGGAUCCAAGCGUUAUCCGGAUUUAUUGGGUUUAAAGGGUGCGUAGGCGGCGUUGUAAGUCAGUGGUGAAAGUUUUCAGCUUAACUGGAAAAUUGCCAUUGAUACUGCAGUGCUUGAGUAUAGAUGAGGUGGGCGGAAUGUGUCAUGUAGCGGUGAAAUGCAUAGAUAUGACACAGAACACCGAUUGCGAAGGCAGCUCACUAAACUAUAACUGACGCUGAGGCACGAAAGCGUGGGGAUCAAACAGGAUUAGAUACCCUGGUAGUCCACGCCCUAAACGAUGAUUACUCGAUGUUAGCGAUAUACCGUUAGCGUCAAAGCGAAAGCGUUAAGUAAUCCACCUGGGGAGUACGCCCGCAAGGGUGAAACUCAAAGGAAUUGACGGGGGCCCGCACAAGCGGA